rnacentral:rRNA from 1 species
GAUGAACGCUGGCGGCGUGCCUAACACAUGCAAGUCGAGCGAACGGACGAGAAGCUUGUUUCUUUGAUGUUAGCGGCGGACGGGUGAGUAACACGUGGAUCACCUACUUAUAAUUCUGGGAUAAUUUCGGGAAACCGGAGAUAAUACCAGAUAAUAUUUUGAACCGCAUGGUUCAAAAGUGAAAGUCGGUCUUGCUGUAACUAAUAGCUGGAUCCGCGCUGCAUUAGCUAGUUGGUAGGGUCACGGCAUACCAAGGCAACGAGGCAUAGCCGACCUGAGAGGGUGAUCGGCCACACUGGAACUGAGACACGGUCCAGACUCCUACGGGAGGCAGCAGUAGGGAAUCUUCCGCAAUGGGCGAAAGCCUGACGCAGCAACGCCGCGUGAGUGAUGAAGGUCUUCGGAUCGUAAAACUCUGUUAUUAGGGAAGAACAUAUGUGUAAGUAACUGUGCCCAUCUUGACGGUACCUAAUCAGAAAGCCACGGCUAACUACGUG